CAUACCACGAUGCGGCUUUAGUCCGCGUGAAAACACGACGGGAACAGCAACUACCGCUGACGUCAGGCGUCCAAGACGUCGUCGACGUCGGUAUCGUCUUCUUCGAUGUACUUCGCCUACUUCUAUCACCCUCGAGAGCCCAUGUAGACGUCCACCACGAGGUUAAUUCGCGACAAGAACUUCGGAUUUCGAUAAUGAGGAACGAUCGUAUAAAAUUUCAAAAAUGAUGGAGUUAAAGCUUGUCCUCGACGGUGGUCAAAAGCAUCAUUGUCAUCAAGAUCUUGUGACCUGAAGAUCUUCGUGACCAAUAUGAGUACGCGUACGUUUGCCCAUUGCCGAUCGAAAAUGUAGAAGAAACUCUAGAAUCCUGACCCCGUGUCAACCAGGAUUCUACAGUACCUUCCACAA